rnacentral:misc_RNA from 1 species
GUGAGUCAUCGAAUCUUUGAACGCAUAUUGCGCUCGAGGCUUCGGCCAAGAGCAUGUCUGCCUCAGCGUCGGGUUAAUCCUCGCCCAACCAAUCCUUGGAUUGAACGGGCGGAUCUGGCUUUCCCAGGCCUAGUGUCUGGGUUCGCUGAAGCACAGAGGUUGAUGCAUGGACCCGAUAAGGGCCGCAACUGGGUAGGCAACUUGUUGCUAAUGCUUUAGUUGUUGGCUUGGGACUGUGCUUGUCGACCCGAAAUCAGGAAGGGCUUCGGCCCUAUUAACCUUUAUCUCGACCUGAGCUCA